rnacentral:misc_RNA from 1 species
GAUGAAGAACGUAGCGAAAUGCGAUACGUAAUGUGAAUUGCAGAAUCCAGUGAAUCAUCGAAUCUUUGAACGCACAUUGCGCCCGCCAGUAUUCUGGCGGGCAUGCCUGUUCGAGCGUCAUUACAACCCUCAGGCCCCCGGGCCUGGCGUUGGGGAUCGGCGGAAGCCCCCUGCGGGCACAACGCCGUCCCCCAAAUACAGUGGCGGUCCCGCCGCAGCUUCCAUUGCGUAGUAGCUAACACCUCGCAACUGGAGAGCGGCGCGGCCACGCCGUAAAACACCCAACUUCUGAAUGUUGACCUCGAAUCAGGUAGGAAUACCCGCUGAACUUAAGCAUAUCAAUAAGCGGAGGA